UACGGGGGGGGCAAGCGUUGUUCGGAAUUACUGGGCGUAAAGGGCUCGUAGGCGGCCAACUAAGUCAUACGUGAAAUCCCUCGGCUUAACCGGGGAACUGCGUCUGAUACUGGAUGGCUUGAGUUCGGGAGAGGGAUGCGGAAUUCCAGGUGUAGCGGUGAAAUGCGUAGAUAUCUGGAGGAACACCGGUGGCGAAAGCGGCUCACUGGACCGCAACUGACGCUGAGGCGCGAAAGCUAGGGGAGCAAACAGG
rnacentral:rRNA from 1 species